rnacentral:misc_RNA from 1 species
AGCAAUCACGCCUCGAACAUCAGGAGAUUUAACCAGAGCAGCAGCCUUGAGCCAUCCAUCAAGUUCUUCUUCCAGUUUUUUAGCUGAAAAUGCGAAAGUAACAGUAUUACAUCCCAAUAACACCAAAGCUACUCAUCUAGAAGGCGAACAAUUCCAAGAUUUGCUUGAAAGCUAAAGUUACCUAAAUUUCACCCUCUCAACACAUCUCGUUAAAAUUGGGCGCUGUUUACUUCUUUUUGGAGCAAAAUCACACCAUAAAUAAACCCUAAAUUGAGCUCUCCAAACCCAAAAAUCUUUGCACUUCAAAAAAAAAAAAUCAUUUGAUCAAGUAAUAUUUUAACUCUAAUUUUAGUUUUUCUCACUUGAAUUAUUUUUUCCAGAUGUGAUUCCUGUGAAGCAAACGCUGAAGCCUUGAAAUGCAAGCCGGAAGAAUUACGAUUAUCGGUGUUCCAUUAGCCAGCAUGUAAUGCUCUUCUGAUUUUCUCCAUUU